GAGGAUAUAGCUCAGUGGCAGAACACAUACUUAUCAUGCAUGAGAUCCUGGGUUCAAUCCCCAGCAUCAAUA
rnacentral:tRNA from 1 species